rnacentral:rRNA from 1 species
UACGUAGGUGGCAAGCGUUGUCCGGAAUUAUUGGGCGUAAAGCGCGCGCAGGUGGUUUCUUAAGUCUGAUGUGAAAGCCCACGGCUCAACCGUGGAGGGUCAUUGGAAACUGGGGAACUUGAGUGCAGAAGAGGAAAGUGGAAUUCCACGUGUAGCGGUGAAAUGCGUAGAGAUGUGGAGGAACACCAGUGGCGAAGGCGACUUUCUGGUCUGUAACUGACACUGAGGCGCGAAAGCGUGGGGAGCAAACAG